rnacentral:rRNA from 1 species
UACGUAGGGUGCGAGCGUUAAUCGGAAUUACUGGGCGUAAAGCGUGCGCAGGCGGUUUUGUAAGCCAGGUGUGAAAUCCCCGGGCUCAACCUGGGAAUGGCAUUUGGGACUGCAAGGCUGGAGUGUGGCAGAGGAGACUGGAAUUCCUGGUGUAGCAGUGAAAUGCGUAGAUAUCAGGAGGAACACCGGUGGCGAAGGCGGUUCUCUGGGCAUGUCCUGACGCUGAGGAGCGAAAGUGUGGGGAGCGAACAGG